UGAGAUUUCAAAAAAUGAAACAAUGCCCAGCAUGAGGUAAGUGGGACGCCUUGGAGAUGGAGCGGCUGGGGCUUCACGCUCAGCCUCAUACUCUGGGGCUGGGUGACACUGGCCUGGGGGAGUAAUGGACUGUCACCGUCUAGCCCAGCUCCUCACUCACCUGUGAAACUGACGGAAUCACAGCCCCUCUGAAGCGCUGCUGGGAGGCUCCGUCCGCUGCUCCUGCUCCAUGCACGAAACUUACUGCCUUUGAAUCCAGGAUGCCCCAUGACCCACUGCAACCCUGACAACCCGGUCAACGGUCGGGAAUGUACCUCCCUCCACUCUUGGGUGUCCUUGGGGAUUUGUCUAAGAGCUACUUCCGGGCUCUUGGGCAGGAGUCUGCCCUUGUAGGGCAGGAGCAGUUUUCCUGCUGAGCUCCUAGGCCAGGCAUUGUCGGUCACCUGGCAUCUGUCACGUGGGCUGCGCCCUGCAGGCCACAUCCUCCGCUUCUAACAACCGCAGGCUUACUCUCUCGGAAAACGCCUCCAUCUCCACCUGGGAUUCUCCCAGCCCCUUUAGCGGCCAGUCUGGGACUCUUGAGACCAGAAAGGAAGUAACUCCGCUCUCUGGAACUCCAGGAUAGGGAGGCACCUUGGCCUACAUGUUCACUAGGAGGAGCCUGCAAAUGGCACCUUCCCACACCCAUGUGAGUCAGCAGAAAACCGGCCUCUCAUACAGUGCCUCCUCCCCACACCCCCUGCCCCGGGACUGCAGGAAGAGAAGAGAAGAGAAGAGAAGAGAAGAGAAGAGAAGAGAAGAGAAGAGAAGAGAAGA